GUCUAAGGCCACACUACGCUGAACAAGCUCAAUUCCGUCUGAUCUCGGAAGCUAAGCAGGGUCCGGCCUGAUUAGUACUUGGAUGGGAGACCACCUAGGAAGACCAGGUGCUGUAGGUG
rnacentral:rRNA from 1 species